UAACAAAUACCCUUCAAUAAUGUGUAAUUUUUUCUUUUUCUAUCAAGUUUUAAUUUCUUUUCUAAUCAAUUUAAACAUUUUUAGUUCAUAAUGAAUUGUAUCAAUAACAAUAUCAGACAUGUAAUUUUGGCUCCUUGCAGCACAAAGGUUGCUCGUUACUGUCUAUACAAUAUAAUAAAAUCUCAAGUAAUACCCAAGAGAAAGACUACUAUAUACUUUGUGUAUGUGUGUGUGGGUGUGUAUAUUAUGUAUCUAGUUAUGUACAUAUGUACAUAUAUACAUAUGUAUCUAUUUACAAACGUAUGUUUAUAUGGGAUCUUCCAACAUUCCACCUCCGUGGUUGCGGAAAGACUGAUAUCAUACGAUAUUCGACCAAAAGUAAAUAAGAUAAGGUGUAUUUAGAUACUUCAGCUUAUAUAGAAACAUAUAAACAUUGUAAUAAGAUUUGCUUUGUAUACGUCCGCUAGUAAAUGCUAUAAACAUUCUCUUUUUCUUUCAGGGUAAUAAUAUUAUAUAUAUAUAUAUAUAUAUAUAUAUAUAUUUAAAUUUUUAUAAUUUAAUUAGUUAAUUAAUCAAAAUCAAAAAAAGAAAAGAAAGCAACAGGAAUAGAAAAAUACGAGACCUCAUCGUAAACUUCGUUCGUUAGGACAGACGUCCUUCCUCGAAAACAAUGAACUUUCAUCUAUCUCUCUCUCUCUGUCUCUUCCUUGCUCUAUUUUGCUAUUUUUUUCUUAAUUUUUCUGUAUGCACGUGUACGCGUACGUACGUAAUACGUAUAUGCAUUUUAACGAAUGUAAUAUCGUUUGGUAUCGAUAUAUUUUAUAUAUAGAAAGAUCGUCGACGAUCGAACGUGAUGCGUGUACCUGAUCGUGACACCCUUAUUUCAAUAUUGUAAAUUUAAUUUGUCAACGAGGUAUAAAUUCUAUAUUCAUUUAAAUACACAUACAUUGAUAUGUGUAUGAAUAAUGCAUAUUAAUCAUAAUACGCAUUAAAUGACACGUUUAAAUAAAAUCCCACAUUAAAAUUUACAUUGUACUAGCUACAUAUACCACAUAAGAACAAGAAAGCAAAA